rnacentral:rRNA from 1 species
AGCAGCCGCGGUAAUUCCAGCUCCAAUAGCGUAUAUUAAAGUUGUUGCAGUUAAAAAGCUCGUAGUUGAAUUUCGGGGUCGGUAGAUUGGUCGUGCCUCUGGUAUGCACUGGUCUUACUGGCUCCUCCUUCCUGAUGAACCGUAAUGCCAUUAAUUUGGUGUUGCGGGGAGACUGGACUGUUACUUUGAAAAAAUUAGAGUGUUUAAAGCAGGUUAACGCUUGAAUACAUUAGCAUGGAAUAAUGAAAUAGGACGUUCGAUCUUAUUUUGUUGGUUUCUAAGAUUGACGUAAUGAUUAAUAGGGAUAGUUGGGGGCAUUAGUAUUCAAUUGUCAGAGGUGAAAUUCUUGGAGUUAU